AGCGAACGCUGGCGGCAGGCCUAACACAUGCAAGUCGAACGGAUCCUUCGGGAUUAGUGGCGGACGGGUGAGUAACACGUGGGAACGUGCCCUUUGGUUCGGAACAACUCAGGGAAACUUGAGCUAAUACCGGAUGUGCCCUUCGGGGGAAAGAUUUAUCGCCAUUGGAGCGGCCCGCGUCUGAUUAGCUAGUUGGUGAGGUAACGGCCCACCAAGGCGACGAUCAGUAGCUGGUCUGAGAGGAUGAUCAGCCACACUGGGACUGAGACACGGCCCAGACUCCUACGGGAGGCAGCAGUGGGGAAUCUUGCGCAAUGGGCGAAAGCCUGACGCAGCCAUGCCGCGUGAAUGAUGAAGGUCUUAGGAUGGUAAAAUUCUUUCAGCGGGGACGAUAAUGACGGUACCCGCAGAAGAAGCUCCGGCUAACUUCGU
rnacentral:rRNA from 1 species